UGGGGAAUAUUGCACAAUGGGCGCAAGCCUGAUGCAGCCAUGCCGCGUGUAUGAAGAAGGCCUUCGGGUUGUAAAGUACUUUCAGCGGGGAGGAAGGUGUUGUGGUUAAUAACCGCAGCAAUUGACGUUACCCGCAGAAGAAGCACCGGCUAACUCCGUGCCAGCAGCCGCGGUAAUACGGAGGGUGCAAGCGUUAAUCGGAAUUACUGGGCGUAAAGCGCACGCAGGCGGUCUGUCAAAUCGGAUGUGAAAUCCCCGGGCUCAACCUGGGAACUGCAUUCGAAACUGGCAGGCUAGAGUCUUGUAGAGGGGGGUAGAAUUCCAGGUGUAGCGGUGAAAUGCGUAGAGAUCUGGAGGAAUACCGGUGGCGAAGGCGGCCCCCUGGACAAAGACUGACGCUCAGGUGCGAAAGCGUGGGGAGCAAACA
rnacentral:rRNA from 1 species